GAUAGAUGGAGGGCAUGAGAACAGCAGAGCACAAACAUGUACAGGUGCAAGCAUAGCAAAGCUGGUGAUACAUACAGUCUAUGCUUCUCUCCAUGAGCCUGCAGCUGGAUGUUUCAGCUAAGUUCUCUGCCUGUCAAUCCCCUGACUCACCCCCAUGCUCAUGUUACAGCAACUUUUGGGAAAUCUGACCAGAGGAUCCUUGCCACUUUUCUUCUCAAGAG